UGAGGAAUAUUGGUCAAUGGACGAGAGUCUGAACCAGCCAAAUCGCGUGAAGGAAGACUGCCCUACGGGUUGUAAACUUCUUUUGUACAGGAAUAAAAGACAUUACGUGUAAUGUAUUGCAUGUACUGUACGAAUAAGCAUCGGCUAACUCCGUGCCAGCAGCCGCGGUAAUACGGAGGAUGCGAGCGUUAUCCGGAUUUAUUGGGUUUAAAGGGUGCGCAGGCGGGAUUUUAAGUCAGCGGUGAAAUUUUCAGGCUCAACCUGAACACUGCCGUUGAAACUGGGAUUCUUGAGUAUGGAUGAAGUAGGCGGAAUUCGUUGUGUAGCGGUGACAUGCUUAGAUAUAACGAGGAACUCCGAUUGCGUAGGCAGCUUACUAAGCCAUAACUGACGCUCAAGC
rnacentral:rRNA from 1 species